UGAGUAGUUUUACAUUGGUUUACUACUGAGUAAUGCUGGUCAUUAUGAAGAAAGUCAGGCAUAUCUGGAAAGUGCUCGUAGAUUACAAAACAAGUUUCAUGGAAGUCAAUCAAUUACUGUAGCCACAAUUCAUCAUCUUCUUGCCAACUCAUUGACUCACAUUGGAGCAUUUGCUGAAGCUAAGCAAAAUAAGAGAAAAGCAUACAAUAUCUAUAGGACUAAAUUUGGCCCAGAUCAUGCACGUACUGUUCAGUCUUUUAAAAAACAUGAGGUAUAUCACUGAGAAGCAAGUCUCUUAUGAGCAGACUGUUGCCUAAAUUUCCUUGCCUGUUAUUUGAAUGUUCAUCAUCUAAUCGUUUAGCAGUGCAAAGUCAUCAUUAACUAUGCAGAGAUUGCCGUUACAGUUGAUGGUACAUUAAAGGUCUUCCAGUCCAUUCUCAUUGACUUAAUUGCAGACUUCUUACUAGCUCUUGUUCACAGAGACUCGUGGCAGGUAAUGAUGAUAUAUUGUGUAGCUACAUGU